AGCCAUGCCGCGUGUAUGAAGAAGGCCUUCGGGUUGUAAAGUACUUUCAGCGGGGAGGAAGGCGGUGAGGUUAAUAACCUCGCCGAUUGACGUUACCCGCAGAAGAAGCACCGGCUAACUCCGUGCCAGCAGCCGCGGUAAUACGGAGGGUGCAAGCGUUAAUCGGAAUUACUGGGCGUAAAGCGCACGCAGGCGGUCUGUUAAGUCAGAUGUGAAAUCCCCGGGCUUAACCUGGGAACUGCAUUUGAAACUGGCAGGCUUGAGUCUCGUAGAGGGGGGUAGAAUUCCAGGUGUAGCGGUGAAAUGCGUAGAGAUCUGGAGGAAUACCGGUGGCGAAGGCGGCCCCCUGGACGAAGACUGACGCUCAGGUGCGAAAGCGUGGGGAGCAAACAGGA
rnacentral:rRNA from 1 species